rnacentral:sRNA from 1 species
AAUGUGUUAGGUUUUAGAGUUAGGUUUUAUCGUGGGUUUCUAAAUAUGUUAAGGGUAUUUCUGUCAUUUGGCAUAUUAAUCGCAGUUUUUUAAUUUUAACGCUGAAUUUAAUCAGCGUUUAAUUUUUUUCGCCGCAUAACAUUGCGUCGGCCGCAGCGUUUUGCCGCAGCUAUCUGCGGUAGUGAAAUGAACAGUUUCAUCUGCGUCUACCGCAGCUGCAACUACCUGCGGCGACGAAACGAACAGACUAAAUAUAAAUAAACAUAAAAAUUAAAAGCACAAAUGAAUUUUAGUAUGUGUAAUUAUGUAU